UAUAAGAAGAAAACUAUACUCAACUUUCAAUGGGCUUCUUCUGUUAUCUGCUGUCCCUCUGGCAUCUGAAAGAAAAACAAAGAGUAUGGAUUAGUAAAAUAGUUGCAAAGAGGGGUAGGGGCCUAUAUAAAGAAAACUAUACUCAACUUUCAAUGGGCUUCUUCUGUUAUAUGCUGUCCUCCCAUGGGGAUCCCUGCAUCUGAAAGAUAAAAAAAGAGUAUGGAUUAGUAAAAUAGUUGCAAAGAGGGGGUAGGGGCCUAUAUAAAGAAAACUAUACUCAACUUUCAAUGGGCUUCUUCUGUUAUCUGUUGUCCCUCCGGCGUCUGAAAGAUAAACAAAGAGUAUGGAUUAGUAAAUUAGUUAAAAAGAGGGGAUAGGGGCCUAUAUAAAGAAAACUAUACUCAACUUUCAAUGGGCUUUUUCUGUUAUCUGCUGUCCUCCCAUGGGGAUCUCUGCAUCUGAAAGAAAAACAAAGAGUAUGGAUUAGUAAAAUAGUUGCAAAGAGGGGGUAGGGGCCUAUAUAAAGAAAACUAUACUCAACUUUCAAUGGGCUUCUUCUGUUAUCUGUUGUCCCUCUGGCGUCUGAAAGAAAAACAAGAGUAUGGAUUAGUAAAUUAGUUAAAAAGAGGAGAUAGGGGCCUAUAUAAAGAAAACUAUACUCAACUUUCAAUGGGCUUCUUCUGUUAUCUGUUGUCCCUCCAGCAUCUGAAAGAAAAACAAAGAGUAUGGAUUAGUAAAUUAGUUAAAAAGAGGGAAUAGGGGCCUAUAUAAAGAAAA
rnacentral:lncRNA from 1 species